rnacentral:rRNA from 1 species
CUACGGGCGGCUGCAGUGGGGAAUAUUGGACAAUGGGGGAAACCCUGAUCCAGCAAUGCCGCGUGUGUGAAGAAGGCCUGCGGGUUGUAAAGCACUUUCGGUUGGGAGGACUGCUUCUAGCACUAAUAUUGUUGGAAGUUGACGUUACCUUCAGAAGAAGCACCGGCUAACUCCGUGCCAGCAGCCGCGGUAAUACGGAGGGGGCAAGCGUUAAUCGGAAUUACUGGGCGUAAAGCGCGCGUAGGCGGCUAGAUCAGUCGGGUGUGAAAGCCCCGGGCUUAACCUGGGAACUGCAUCCGAUACUGUCUAGCUUGAGUACAGGAGAGGAGAGUGGAAUUCCACAUGUAGCGGUGAAAUGCGUAGAUAUGUGGAGGAACACCAAUGGCGAAGGCAGCCCUCUGGCCUGAUACUGACGCUGAGGUGCGAAAGCGUGGGGAGCAAACAGGAUUAGAUACCCCGGUAGUC